rnacentral:rRNA from 1 species
ACGGGGGGGGCGAGCGUUGUUCGGAAUUACUGGGCGUAAAGGGCGCGUAGGCGGCCGGCUCAGUCAGACGUGAAAUCCCUCGGCUCAACCGGGGAACUGCGUCUGAUACUGGCUGGCUCGAAUCCGGGAGAGGGAAGUGGAAUUCCAGGUGUAGCGGUGAAAUGCGUAGAUAUCUGGAGGAACACCGGUGGCGAAGGCGGCUUCCUGGCCCUGUCCUGACGCUCAGGGGCGAAAGCGUGGGGAGCAAACCG